UACGAAGGGGGCUAGCGUUGCUCGGAAUUACUGGGCGUAAAGGGCGCGUAGGCGGACAGUUUAGUCAGAGGUGAAAGCCCAGGCUCAACCUUGGAAUUGCCUUUGAUACUGGCUGUCUUGAGUUCGGGAGAGGUGAGUGGAAUGCCGAGUGUAGAGGUGAAAUUCGUAGAUAUUCGGCGGAACACCAGUGGCGAAGGCGGCUCACUGGCCCGGUACUGACGCUGAGGAGCGAAAGCGUGGGGAGCGAACAGG
rnacentral:rRNA from 1 species